rnacentral:rRNA from 1 species
UACGAAGGGGGCUAGCGUUGUUCGGAUUUACUGGGCGUAAAGCGCACGUAGGCGGAUCGUUAAGUCGGGGGUGAAAGCCCGAGGCUCAACCUCGGAACUGCCUUCGAUACUGCGGGUCUCGAGUCCGGGAGAGGUGAGUGGAAUUCCUAGUGUAGAGGUGAAAUUCGUAGAUAUUAGGAAGAACACCAGUGGCGAAGGCGGCUCACUGGCCCGGUACUGACGCUGAGGCGCGAAAGCGUGGGGAGCAAACAGG